GAUUCUUAGGAAGACCCUGGCCUCCAUCUUGAAAACGGAAAAUAAAAACAGCAGACCUAUGAAGGUCGAAGGGGAAGAAAAGCUGUAUCGAUUGUUGAGAUCUGGCGACUUGUUUAAAUUUCAUCAGCCUCACUUCUAUGAACUCUCAGAGCUGAUUACCAACUCCUACCACUGUUAACCCUCAUCCAGGAACAAGCUUAUGUCUUUAACAUUCUGAGUGGGCUUCAGCAUCCUUGCAUAUGUUCAAUUCUUAAAAACCUGUUGAAAUAAAAGAUCAGGAGACAUAGGAAGGAUGCCAGAAGAGAGCGUGGCCUCACGUGUACCAGCUCUCUGCUCUCCUUUGCCUUGGGACGUUCCAUCCCUGGAAGUUUCCCUGCCCACAUCUUUGUAGAGAGUCCAUUCUCCAAGCUUCAGUGUGUCAUCUGUGAGGACCGUGACCCACCUGGUACAUCGCCUCAGGGCAUUCAUUUCAGGCUCCUUCUAAAUGGCCAAGGAUCAGAGGGAAACAGACCAUUUUCUAUUGUGACAAAGAGAGAACCCAGGAAAGGGGCAGUGUUUUUCCCCUCACAGGUGAUGGAGUUUUUAUAAAGAAUGCAGCGGAUAAUGGCAGGCUUGUCCUCUGAACAGAUGGUGAUGGUCUUGUUGCUAGGAUGAGGCCUCAAGAAUUUAGUUUUUAAUUCCACAUUAUUUGCCUCAGUGCCAUGAAUAUCCCUAGGUUUCCUGAGGCAAAAAUACAGAAAAAAAAUCCACAGAAAGAGUGACACACAGAGAGAGAAAGAGCAAGAGAUGGGGCAACUGAGCAGAGACUGGAGCCCGGUCAAGAGAGGCUUUGGGGAAAAUGCCUGCUCAGCUGUCUGCAAUCACCUGGGUUUAAAGCAGGCAGGAAGGAAGAUUGGUUUGGCAGGAGAACUGGCCCUUUGAUGCCUUCGAUACCACAGAGAAAAAUUCCCAUUUCUUCCCAUUAGAAGUCUGUUUACUUUCCUAAUUAAGAUAAACAUGUUUCUGAAGGAGUUAGCUCUUAUAGCAUGACAUUUAUAAAAUCAACUAUAUAUACACACAAGAAUGUUUGCCAGGAAUUUGGGCUGAUGGUGAUUGUAUGAAGCAUUUUAUAGAAAUAUUUUUAAAUAGUUGCCUUAUUUAAAAAUGAGCGACUUUCAUUCCCUCCAGUCAAUUAAAUAUCUAAUUUCAACUCUCGGAGAUAAUAACUGAAGUAGUUUUUUUAAUAAAUGAAUGAACAGUUAGAAAACUGUUAAACACAUAGCCCUGAAGCAUGAAAAAUAUAUUCGUUGAACAGCUUUAUUCUUUUAUUGUUAAUUUACUUCAGAGAAUAUCCACUCGUGUAAUUUUCAAUAAAGUACUCUUAUUUUGAAGUCUCCUUUAUUGAAUAUAA
rnacentral:lncRNA from 1 species